rnacentral:lncRNA from 1 species
GGAAUAUCAUAGUAUUGAUUUAAAUAAGGCAACUUCUUUAGCAACUGGAAUAUUCUCAGAUGUUGUAUGAUUACACAUAGGUGCUAAAUGAAUUAAACAUUGUAAUGCUGGUUGAUUAAGUCAAGUAGGAUGUGUGUUAGGGGAGAGCUUUCUCGAGUGGAGAUCUUUCUCACUUCGUAGCUGUAGUUUCCUUAGCACCUUCUAGGCAGGAGUAUGGUUUUAAUUAAAAAGAAACCACUUGCCUUUAAAAGCAUAAUUUCCUGCUGAGAGGAAGUUUAUGCUGGGUAAAUUUAUUCCAGGUCUUUGACUGUGUCAGUAUAAAGUAAAUCCAUCAUAAAAAAGAUGGAUAAUGGUCUAUGUUAAGGAAAUAAAUAGGCGGUUGAAAAGAAAAUUUUUGGUAAAUAAUCCACACCUUGGGAAGCUGAAGAACAGGAAGCUAAGGAAUUCAUGUUUUUAAGAAACUGCAAGUAAAUGUGCAAAUAUAAUGCUAGUUUUAAGAAAAAGUGUACAGAGUAUUUCUUCCAGACUAUCUCAUUGCUGUUAAGAUUUUUGCAGCCGUGUUACAGAUGAGAAAAAGGAGAUUGAUUCAGUUGCAGAAAUUUGAUAGGAAGAGAAUUUUUGCACAGGAGCAGGCACAGAAAGAAGAGAAAUGUGACAUGUGUAACGUUACUAGUAAACUCACAGAGGGAGCUUACAGUGGGGCAUGCUUCUUAAAACAAAUGGUGUUUAAUAACUUGGUGGUUAACCUAGGGACUUCUUUAUAGCUUUGUUACUGGUCUUUUUAUCAACCUAUGGUGAUAACAUAGAUCCUAAUAAAGACUGACUCUUGUAUAUUUGAUUUAAAAACUAUUAAGACAUGGUAAAGGUUCAGUCAACCAAAACACCUUAGAAAAUAGCAUUAGCUAUUGCCAGGUUAGGCUACAUCAAUACAUGCGCAAAUGCAUGUAUAGAUGUACCUACCUUUACAUAGGAAGUACCUAAAAAUUGUAUGUAAAUUGAUUACUUUUGAAUGUAAGCAUUUUAAAUAAAAUCUGUAGUUGAGUCAAUCGAUACUAACUUAAACUGGUUCUGUAAAUUGAUUCUAACAUACUGGGCUUUUUCAGAGUGAAACCUGUAUAUGCAUAUAAAAUAUGAGCAUGCAUAUAUGUACAAAAGCCCUUAAAAGGAAUUCAGCUUUCUUUUAUAAACAGCAAAACUCACUCUGCUUGUAAAACAUUUUUGCUGAAGUUUGCGUAGUUGACUUAAAUUUGCACCUUUCUCUCUGCAUAUGCUACUGGGGCUAUCUGCAUGUAGAUUUUUGUUGACGCCCUCCUUCCCCUCAAUAAGUCAGUUAACUUAAGAGGAAAUGUGACAUUUCUAUAAAAUAAAUGUACAUAAAACAAAUCAGCAUAUUCAGCUUAUGCAGAAGUAAAAAUUAUUCCACUCACACAAGGAAUUUCUACUUUGUAAAAAUGUAGCUUGUAUUUCGGACUGUAAUAAAAUCUGGUAU